rnacentral:rRNA from 1 species
UGAAUACGAGACGCUACGGCGUCGAAGCAGUCUAUGUCAUACUUCCAAGAAAAGCUCGCAAUGUCAUAAACAAAUAAUGCCUGUACCAUAACCGACACAGGAGGGUAGGUAGAGUAUACUAAGGGGCGCGAGAUAACUCUCUCUAAGGAGCUCGGCAAAAUGACUCCGUAACUUCGGGAGAAGGAGUGCCUUAUUUAUAAGGUUGCAAUAACAAGAUCCAAGCAACUGUUUAUCAAAAACACAGGUCUCCGCUAAGUCGUAAGACGAUGUAUGGGGGCUGACGCCUGCCCAGUGCCAGAAGGUUAAAGAAGUUGGUUAGCAUUCGCGAAGCUGAUAACUGAAGCCCUGGUGAACGGCGGCCGUAACAAUAACGGUCCUAAGGUAGCGAAAUUCCUUGUCGGGUAAGUUCCGACCCGCACGAAAGGCGUAAUGAUUUGGAUACUGUCUCGGAGAGGGGCUCGGUGAAAUAGACUUGUCUGUGAAGAUGCGGACUACCUGCACCUGGACAGAAAGACCCUAUGAAGCUUUACUGUAACUUGAAAUUGAAAUUGGACUUUAUUUGCGCAGCAUAGGUGGGAGGCGUUGAGAGUAUUCUUGCGGGAAUAUUGGAGCCAUCAGUGAGAUACCACUCUUGUAAUGUUAGAUUUCUAACUUUGGAUCAUUAUCUGGUCAAAGAACAGUUUCAGGCGGGCAGUUUGACUGGGGCGGUCGCCUCCCAAAUGGUAACGGAGGCGUACAAAGGUUUCCUCUGAACGGGUAGAAAUCGUAUCUAGAGUGUAAAGGCAUAAGGAAGCUUGACUGUGAGACCUACAAGUCGAGCAGGGACGAAAGUCGGUCUUAGUGAUCUGACGGUGCUGAGUGGAAAGGCCGUCACUCAACGGAUAAAAGUUACUCUAAGGAUAACAGGCUGAUCUCCCCCAAGAGUUCACAUCGACGGGGAGGUUUGGCACCUCGAUGUCGGCUCAUCGCAUCCUGGGGCGGUAGUACGUCCCAAGGGUUGGGCUGUUCGCCCAUGAAAGCGGUACGCGAGCUGGGUUCAGAACGUCGUGAGACAGUUCGGUCCAUAUCCGGUGUAGGCGUUAGAAUAUUGAGAGGAGCCUUCUUUAGUACGAGAGGACCGAGAAGGACAUACCUCUGGUGUACCAGUUAUCGUGCCAACGGUAAACGCUGGGUAGCUAUGUAUGGAGAGGAUAACCGCUGAAAGCAUCUAAGUGGGAAGCCCACCUCAAGAUAAGUAUUCUCA